GAUGAACGCUGGCGGCGUGCCUAAUACAUGCAAGUCGAGCGAACAGAUGAGGAGCUUGCUCCUCUGACGUUAGCGGCGGACGGGUGAGUAACACGUGGAUAACCUACCUAUAAGACUGGGAUAACUUCGGGAAACCGGAGCUAAUACCGGAUAAUAUAUUGAACCGCAUGGUUCAAUAGUGAAAGACGGUUUUGCUGCCACUUAUAGAUGGAUCCGCGCCGCAUUAGCUAGUUGGUAAAGUAACGGCUUACCAAGGCAACGAUGCGUAGCCGACCUGAGAGGGGGAUCGGCCACACUGGAACUGAGACACGGUCCAGACUCCUACGGGAGGCAGCAGUAGGGAAUCUUCCGCAAUGGGCGAAAGCCUGACGGAGCAACGCCGCGUGAGUGAUGAAGGUCUUCGGAUCGUAAAACUCUGUUAUUAGGGAAGAACAAAUGUGUAAGUAACUAUGCACGUCUUGACGGUACCUAAUCAGAAAGCCACGGCUAACUACGUG
rnacentral:rRNA from 1 species